CCUACGGGAGGCAGCAGUGGGGAAUUUUCCGCAAUGGGCGAAAGCCUGACGGAGCAAUACCGCGUGAGGGAUUAAGGCCUGCGGGUCGUAAACCUCUUUUUUCAGGGAGGAAGAUAUGACGUGUACCUGAAGAAUAAGGAUCGGCUAACUCCGUGCCAGCAGCCGCGGUAAUA
rnacentral:rRNA from 1 species